GUGGGGAAUCUUGCGCAAUGGGCGAAAGCCUGACGCAGCCAUGCCGCGUGAAUGAUGAAGGUCUUAGGAUUGUAAAAUUCUUUCACCGGGGACGAUAAUGACGGUACCCGGAGAAGAAGCCCCGGCUAACUUCGUGCCAGCAGCCGCGGUAAUACGAAGGGGGCUAGCGUUGCUCGGAAUUACUGGGCGUAAAGGGCGCGUAGGCGGACAGUUUAGUCAGAGGUGAAAGCACAGGGCUCAACCUUGGAAUUGCCUUUGAUACUGGCUGUCUUGAGUACGGGAGAGGUGAGUGGAACUCCGAGUGUAGAGGUGAAAUUCGUAGAUAUUCGGAAGAACACCAGUGGCGAAGGCGACUCACUGGCCCGUUACUGACGCUGAGGCGCGAAAGCGUGGGGAGCAAACAGGAUUAGAUACCCUGGUAGUCC
rnacentral:rRNA from 1 species